rnacentral:rRNA from 1 species
AUUCGGGGCAACCGCGAUAAGGGGCACCUAGAGUGCUGGGUUACAAACCUGGCUGUUGGGCUGCCUAAAAAGCAGUCUAUAGCAAGGGCCGGGCAAGACCGGUGCCAGCCGCCGCGGUAACACCGGCGGCUCGAGUGGUAACCGCUGUUAUUGGGUCUAAAGGGUCUGUAGCCUGCCGGCUAAGUCUCUUGGGAAAUCUGGCAUCUCAAGUGUCAGGCUGCCAGGGGAUACUGGUCAGCUUGGGACCGGGAGAGGUGAGAGGUACCUCAGGGGUAGGGGUGAAAUCUUGUAAUCCUUGAGGGACCACCAGUGGCGAAGGCGUCUCACCAGAACGGAUCCGACGGCAAGGGACGAAAGCUAGGGGCACGAACCGGAUUAGAUACCCGGGUAGUCCUAGCCGUAAACGAUACUCGCUAGGUGUCGGCCACGGUGCGACCGUGGUCGGUGCCGUAGGGAAGCCGUGAAGCGAGCCACCUGGGAAGUACGGCCGCAAGGCUGAAACUUAAAGGAAUUGGCGGGGGAGCAC